AUAUGUCUUACAUUAACAUUAGUUCAUUACAGAAGUCAUACUACAAAAUACAAAUCAUUAGGAUAAUUAUCUUUAUUGAUCUUCAUAAUCCUACGACAAAAAGAAAAAAGAAAUUUUUUUAUAUCAAUCAUGAAAUAAAUAAAAUGGAUAUAGAUAAUUAAAUAAAUGAGAUGAGCACUCAACGUGCUACUAGGUUAUAAUGAGAUGAGGACGAGUUAAGUGCUGGUUGCGACAAGAAUAAUUUGGAAAGGAUUCGUGAGACAAUAACAAGGUCACUCAAGAUUUGAUUUCUAAAUUGUGUGCUUGUGGGGUUAUGGGCUUUAGGCUGUGGUUAAGUAUAAAUUAUAUCAAAGACUUUAUAUUAACUAAAAU
rnacentral:lncRNA from 1 species